rnacentral:rRNA from 1 species
AAAAACAUAACCUUUAGCCAAACAAAUAUUAAAGGCAACGCCUGCCCAGUGAACAAUUAAACGGCCGCGGUACCCUAACCGUGCAAAGGUAGCAUAAUCAUUUGUCUACUAAUUAUAGACCUGUAUGAAGGGCAAAAUGAGGGUCUAACUGUCUCUUAUAAUAAAUCAAUUAAACUGAUCUCCUAGUAAAAAAGCUAGAAUAAUACCAUAAGACCAGAAGACCCUGUGAAGCUUAAAUCAAACUACUAAAUCACAUAGUAAUUACUUUCGGUUGGGGCGACCUUGGAAAAAAAUAGAACUUCCAAGACCCAGUACAACUGACAAUUGAACCAAGUUACUCCAGGGAUAACAGCGCAAUCUUCUUCAAGAGCCCAUAUCAAAAAGAAGGUUUACGACCUCGAUGUUGGAUCAGGACAUCCUAAUGGUGCAGCCGCUAUUAAGGGUUCGUUUGUUCAACGAUUAACAGUCCUACGUGAUCUGA